GACGAACGCUGGCGGCGUGCUUAACACAUGCAAGUCGAACGGAAAGGCCUCUUUCGGGGGGUACUCGAGUGGCGAACGGGUGAGUAACACGUGAGUAACCUGCCCUUGACUUUGGGAUAACUUCAGGAAACUGGGGCUAAUACCGGAUAGGAGCUCCUGCUGCAUGGUGGGGGUUGGAAAGUUUCGGCGGUUGGGGAUGGACUCGCGGCUUAUCAGCUUGUUGGUGGGGUAGUGGCUUACCAAGGCUUUGACGGGUAGCCGGCCUGAGAGGGUGACCGGCCACAUUGGGACUGAGAUACGGCCCAGACUCCUACGGGAGGCAGCAGUGGGGAAUAUUGCACAAUGGGUGGACGCCUGAUGCAGCAACGCCGUGUGCGGGAUGACGGCCUUCGGGCUGUAAACCGCUUUCGCUCAUGACGAAGCUUUGUGUGACGGUAGUGGGUAAAGAAGCACCGGCUAACUACGUG
rnacentral:rRNA from 1 species